rnacentral:rRNA from 1 species
AUUGAACGCUGGCGGCAUGCUUUACACAUGCAAGUCGAACGGUAACAGGCCUUCGGGUGCUGCCGAGUGGCGAACGGGUGCGUAAUGCAUCGGAACGUACCCAGAGGUGGGGGAUAACGCAGCGAAAGCUGUGCUAAUACUGCAUGUGAUCUGAGGAUGAAAGCGGGGGACCGAGCAGCAAUGUUUGGCCUCGCGCCUUUGGAGCGGCCGAUGUCGGAUUAGCUAGUUGGUGGGGUAAAGGCCUACCAAGGCGACGAUCCGUAGCUGGUCUGAGAGGACGACCAGCCACACUGGGACUGAGACACGGCCCAGACUCCUACGGGAGGCAGCAGUGGGGAAUUUUGGACAAUGGGCGCAAGCCUGAUCCAGCAAUGCCGCGUGCGGGAAGAAGGCCUUCGGGUUGUAAACCGCUUUUGGCAGGAACGAAACGGUGUCCGCUAAUACCGGGCGCUAAUGACGGUACCUGCAGAAUAAGCACCGGCUAACUACGUG